UACGUAGGGUGCAAGCGUUGUCCGGAAUUAUUGGGCGUAAAGAGCUCGUAGGCGGUUUGUCGCGUCUGCUGUGAAAACUGGAGGCUCAACCUCCAGCCUGCAGUGGGUACGGGCAGACUAGAGUGCGGUAGGGGAGAUUGGAAUUCCUGGUGUAGCGGUGGAAUGCGCAGAUAUCAGGAGGAACACCGAUGGCGAAAGGCAGAUCUCUGGGCCGUAACUGGACGCUGAGGAGCGAAAGCAUGGGGAGCGAACAG
rnacentral:rRNA from 1 species